CAUGUGUUUUAUCCAAGAAUGUCUCACUUACAUUUGCUCCAAUGAUGUGGGCCAAGAUCUGCAAAGGUACCUGCAUCUCUCAUAGGCACAGGUGCCUAGGAAUCUGGAAGAAAACAAAAUAUGCUUCUGAGAAUUGACAUGGGACAGCCUGAGAAGGAAGGCGUAAAGAUCCAUUUUCACUUUGGAUGGCUUUGCUGCACAGAAAACAAGAUCUGAUCCCCUUGUUUGACUACUGGGAUUACAGGCGCACCUUCUAAAGACAACCAAAGAGCCCUUCAGCCCAAGCAAACAGUUGACCUGAGAAGCCUGCAGAAGGAUUAUUUUCAAGUGCAGGGUUUAUCCUCAGAGCCACUGGUACAGCCAUAAAGCUGUACCAUUACUAAAAUAUCACUGUAUUUGCCUGCUACUUCCAAUCAAGGAUCUCAGACUACAGGUAGGGUUUGCACAAAUAAGGAGCAUUGUAAACAAUAACAAAAUAUUUAUGUCAAUGAUCCUUUUCAUUUAUUGGCCUUGAUUAUUUUCUUUCCUAGUGGGCCAACACACCUAAGAGCAGUCCAGACAUAUUUCCUCUGUGAAGCAGAUUGUCAUCCCUAUCUUACUAGUAAAUGUACUAAUCCCAUCCUUUGGCAGCCAAUAAGAGCACUUACUCCUGUAUCUAAAUACUCCUAUUAGCAGCCAAAGUCAAUAUUUAGGACACAGAUUGCUCAUUGGAUUCUUUGUCCUUUUUCAGGCCUUCCAAUCAGUUGUAGAGGCCCAGGAACACUGCAGCUUAAAAAAUCAAAUGAAUGGAGAAAAAAGGGAGUUCUUCUUAGAACAACAUUUGCUAGCUGCCUCUUCAGAUAAGGAAAUGUGCAGCACAAUGUGUGUGCUGGCCAGCCUCCAAAUAGCACCAUGAAUCCCUGGAACACGUCCCGGAAUUUGUAUCUGAGCAAAAGAUGUCUGGAAAGAGCACAUUGCUGGCUUUCCAAG
ensembl:lncRNA